AAUGAACGUUGGCGGCGUGGAUUAGGCAUGCAAGUCGAGCGAGAACCGUAGCAAUACGGGGACAGCGGCGUAAGGGAGAGUAAUACGUAGAUUACCUGCCCUCGGGACUGGGAUAGCCGCGGGAAACUGCGGGUAAUACCAGAUGACGUCUUCGGACCAAAGGUGUGAUUCCGCCCGAGGAGGGGUCUGCGUCCUAUUAGCUAGUUGGUGGGGUAAUGGCCUACCAAGGCAAUGAUGGGUACGGGUGUGAGAGCAUGCCCCCGCUCACUGGGACUGAGACACUGCCCAGACACCUACGGGAGGCUG
rnacentral:rRNA from 1 species